AGUAAUGGAGCAAGAGUUACUGCUGUAGCCGUUGGUACUUAUCCUCUGUGAUUACCAUCAAGAUUCAAUUUAGUUCUGAGAGACUAUUACUAUAUAGCUACUGCUAGUAGAAAUUUGAUUUCUGUAUUUAUACUAGCAUAAGAUGAAUAUAUUUUUAAUUUUAAUAAAAAGUACUGUUCAAAUUAUUUUAAAAAUAAAUUGGUUACACAUAAUUUUUUAAUUGAUAGUCUCUACCAUUUAUAUUUUAAUAUAUCUAUGAAUGUAUUCGAGC
rnacentral:lncRNA from 1 species